UUACCUGAACUAUAUAUAAAUCAUUUUAAAUUAGCUUCGUAAUCUUUUAUAGCUUUAAUUUUACUAUCCAAUCUUUCAAUUCAUUUAAUUUGAUUUAGUUAACAGCAUUUCGAUUUCAAAAUUUAAAUUAAUCACUUACUUUAAUAAAUUUAUAGUUGUAAAAAUUAUAUGAAAUAUAUUAACUAAAUCUACGAAGAUAAAAACAUAUCCAAGUUUUAAAGUCAAAAUAGUAGUCAUUGACUAACUCAAAUCAAAUAAAUUAAAAAAUUUAAAAAUAAAAUUAAAAUUUUGCAUGGUUGGAUAGUGAAUUCAAAAUAAUCCAUAGUGCAGAUAAUUUCGGUAUAUUUUUAUUAUCUAUUACAUUUUGU
rnacentral:lncRNA from 1 species